rnacentral:rRNA from 1 species
GACGAACGCUGGCGGCGCGCCUAAUGCAUGCAAGUCGAACGAGAACUAGUUCAUUCGUAAGAAUGAGUUAGGGACAGUGGCGAACGGGUGCGUAACACGUGAGAAACCUGCCCUGGAGACCGGGAUAGCCCGGGAAACCCGGAUUAAUACCGGAUAUCCUCAUCAGAUCGCAUGUUCUGGUGAGAAAAUGGUCCGCUGCUCCAGGAUGGUCUCGCGGCCUAUCAGCUUGUUGGUGAGGUAACGGCUCACCAAGGCUCCGACGGGUAGCUGGUCUGAGAGGACGAUCAGCCACACUGGGACUGAGACACGGCCCAGACUCCUACGGGAGGCAGCAGCAGGGAAUAUUGCACAAUGGGCGCAAGCCUGAUGCAGCGACGCCGCGUGCGGGAUGAAGGCCUUCGGGUUGUAAACCGCUUUCAGGAGGGACGAAAAUGACGGUACCUCCAGAAGAAGGCCCGGCCAACUACGUG